UUGGCCGGGCGACGGUUGUCCCGGUUUAAGCGUGUAGGUGUGUGUUCCAGGUAAAUCCGGUUCACUUUAACACUGAGGCGUGACGACGAGGCACUACGGUGCUGAAGCAACAAAUGCCCUGCUUCCAGGAAAAGCCUCUAAGCAUCAGGUAACAUCAAAUCGUACCCCAAACCGACACAGGUGGUCAGGUAGAGAAUACCAAGGCGCUUGAGAGAACUCGGGUGAAGGAACUAGGCAAAAUGGUGCCGUAACUUCGGGAGAAGGCACGCUGACACGUAGGUGAAGUGAUUUACUCAUGGAGCUGAAGUCAGUCGAAGAUACCAGCUGGCUGCAACUGUUUAUUAAAAACACAGCACUGUGCAAACACGAAAGUGGACGUAUACGGUGUGACGCCUGCCCGGUGCCGGAAGGUUAAUUGAUGGGGUCAGCGCAAGCGAAGCUCCUGAUCGAAGCCCCGGUAAACGGCGGCCGUAACUAUAACGGUCCUAAGGUAGCGAAAUUCCUUGUCGGGUAAGUUCCGACCUGCACGAAUGGCGUAAUGAUGGCCAGGCUGUCUCCACCCGAGACUCAGUGAAAUUGAACUCGCUGUGAAGAUGCAGUGUACCCGCGGCAAGACGGAAAGACCCCGUGAACCUUUACUAUAGCUUGACACUGAACAUUGAGCCUUGAUGUGUAGGAUAGGUGGGAGGCUUUGAAGUGUGGACGCCAGUCUGCAUGGAGCCGACCUUGAAAUACCACCCUUUAAUGUUUGAUGUUCUAACGUGGACCCGUUACCCGGGUUGCGGACAGUGUCUGGUGGGUAGUUUGACUGGGGCGGUCUCCUCCUAAAGAGUAACGGAGGAGCACGAAGGUUGGCUAAUCCUGGUCGGACAUCAGGAGGUUAGUGCAAUGGCAUAAGCCAGCUUGACUGCGAGCGUGACGGCGCGAGCAGGUGCGAAAGCAGGUCAUAGUGAUCCGGUGGUUCUGAAUGGAAGGGCCAUCGCUCAACGGAUAAAAGGUACUCCGGGGAUAACAGGCUGAUACCGCCCAAGAGUUCAUAUCGACGGCGGUGUUUGGCACCUCGAUGUCGGCUCAUCACAUCCUGGGGCUGAAGUAGGUCCCAAGGGUAUGGCUGUUCGCCAUUUAAAGUGGUACGCGAGCUGGGUUUAGAACGUCGUGAGACAGUUCGGUCCCUAUCUGCCGUGGGCGCUGGAGAACUGAGGGGGGCUGCUCCUAGUACGAGAGGACCGGAGUGGACGCAUCACUGGUGUUCGGGUUGUCAUGCCAAUGGCACUGCCCGGUAGCUAAAUGCGGAAGAGAUAAGUGCUGAAAGCAUCUAAGCACGAAACUUGCCCCGAGAUGAGUUCUCCCUGAGACUUUAGGUCUCCUGAAGGAAC
rnacentral:rRNA from 1 species